GUGAGGAAUAUUGCGCAAUGGAGGCAACUCUGACGCAGCCAUGCCGCGUGCAGGAAGAAGGCGCUACGCGUUGUAAACUGCUUUUAACCGGGAAGAAACCCCAGGACGUGUCCUGGGUUGACGGUACCGGAGGAAUAAGCACCGGCUAACUUCGUGCCAGCAGCCGCGGUAAUACGAAGGGUGGAAGCGUUAUCCGGAUUCAUUGGGUUUAAAGGGUGCGUAGGCGGAGCGUUAAGUCAGUGGUGAAAUCCUGCAGCUUAACUGUAGACUUGCCAUUGAUACUGGCGCUCUUGAGUGCGCUUGAAGUGGGCGGAAUGUGCAGUGUAGCGGUGAAAUGCUUAGGUAGGGCACAGAACACCAAUUGCGAAGGCAGCUCACUAAGGCGAUACUGACGCUGAGGCACGAAAGCGUGGGGAUCGAACAGGAUUAGAAACCCCGGUAGUCC
rnacentral:rRNA from 1 species